rnacentral:tRNA from 1 species
GGUACAAGUAGCUUAAAUAGAGCAUCUUAUUGAAAAUGAGAGAGGUGGUUAUUCCCUGUGCCU